rnacentral:rRNA from 1 species
UACGUAGGGUGCAAGCGUUGUCCGGAAUUAUUGGGCGUAAAGGGCUCGUAGGCGGUUUGUCGCGUCGGGAGUGAAAUCCACUGGCUUAACUGGUGGCUUGCUUUCGAUACGGGCAGACUGGAGGUAUGCAGGGGAGAACGGAAUUCCUGGUGUAGCGGUGAAAUGCGUAGAUAUCUGGAGGAAUACCGGUGGCGAAGGCGGCAUCCUGGACCGAGAUUGACGCUGAGGAGCGAAAGCCAGGGGAGCAAACGGG